GAAACCCUGUCUCGAAAAACCAAAAAAUGAAAAAAAAUAAAAAUUUUAAUGUAAAAAAAAAGAGAGAGAUGAAAUAAGAAAUAUUAUUUUAUUUUAUCACUAUUAUGAUGAUGAUGAUGAUGAUAUAUGGAAGAGGGGAUGCACUUGCCGGGUCAUGCUCUUAUGGAGACCAGAGGCCAACAUCCUUGUCUCUCUCUGUCUCUCUUCAGAUUUUUAAAUUUUCUCCUAAAUUAUUUUACUACGUCUUUAACCUUUGUUUACCUAUUUAGGGGGAGAGGAGGACAUUUGAUUGCAGAGAAGGACAUUUGACACAUGGGGAGGUCAGAGGACAACUUUCAGGAUCUGUUCUCUCCCUCCACCUUGUCUACCAACUGUGACCCAGAUAGUGAACUCAGGCAGGCUUCCAGGAGUCACCUUUGCCCUCUGACCUGGCUCCCUGACCCCAGUUUAUGUUUUGAGACAAGCUCUCUCACUAAACUUGGGGUUACCUGAUAGGCCAGAAAGCUCUGGUGAACCUCCAUUUCCACUCCCCCCAGCACUGUGGUUACAGGACAUGCAUACAUUAAAACAUCUAAUUUUUACAUGGGUGCUAAAAAUCCAAAUUCAGUCCCUUAUGCUUAAACAGGCAGCACUUUACCCACUGAGCCAUGCCCCUAGCCCCUCAACCCCCAAAUGUUCUUGGUCACACCUGGUAUUAUCUCAACCUCCUUUUCUCACUCUUCAGGUGGUCCGAGACAUCUUGCUGAUUGGACACAGACAGGCCUUUGCGUGGGUUGAUGAGUGGUACGGUAAGUCCGAUGGCCCAAAAUAACUCGGAGAAUAGUUUCGUAACACCUCGACUUGGCUUUCAGUCCACCCAGCUUCACGUGUAACCUAGAAGGACAACAACAAAGCGUAGGCCACCACUUCCUGUAUUGGAAAUAGCUCUGUCUGGUGAGCCUAAUAAAGAUGUAAUUAUAGGAGCUCGGUCUGAAAUAACCAUAGAACUAUUGACCAAGUAGGACCUCGGCAUGCUUGAUGCUUGUCUUACCGACACUCGGGGCUCCAUUGUUCUCUGCGGGGUGGAUUUCACACCCAUCCUGAGUUACCUCAAACUUCAACAUUAUCUGAUAGAAGCACCUUAUUUAGUAACAGUCCCUUGAUGCAGGAAACAUUUGAAACAGACCCUCAUCAGAGACAUACAGGUUCUCUAAGAUGUCAAGGACAGAUGGAGGGAGGCAUAUGUGACUGGACAACUCUAAUGGAAAAUACUGCUCUGGCUUUUUGGAUUCUUUGAGGUUUUUUUGUUUGUUUGUUUGUUUGUUUUUAAUGUCAUUCAAAAGAUUUUAAACAAGUUCUGCACCUUGUCAGUAAAUAAGAACAAGGUUUGCUUGGUACCAUGAUGGAUGGACCACCCUCCCUGGGUGCUCAGCACUACAGCUGUGUGGACAUGAGUCCCCUGCCUCCCCCGAAUCAGUCAUUAGGUGGCCUGUGUCCUUGGCUAUAAAUAGAAGUGAGCACGCCCAACCAGUGACUUAGGAUAGAGCCAACUGUGUGUGUCUGUUGUCCUAAGUCACGUUAUUUGUCCUAGAUGUACCCUACAUUGUAUUUUGGUCUUUUUUUCCCCCCACCCUUAUUCCACACAUGCCCUCCGUUUCCAGAGCAGCAGCUGAUGCCCUCCGCUAUCCUAUCUUAAAGUGAAAGGCUACAUUGAACAGAAUGGGUGAAGGCAGUGCUGGUAACUCAGGCCACAGGUUUAAAAGGCUUGGUCUGCCGGGCUACAGGGUUCAUUUAGUCUCAUGUUUCCAUUUUCCCAGCUCUGCACCUACUGAAGAGUAAGCGCUUCUUCCUGGUUUGCCCAGGUGCCCAUCCCCGCUUGGAUUGUUAGGUUCCACAACCACAGGACAUUUUCAUGCACUCUGCUGUCAGGAAGACUCUCCACGACCAGAGAUAGGUCACUGGGGAAUAUCCUCGAAUUAAUAUCUGUCCUGUCUUCUCAACUUUACUUCUCAGAGCUCAUGGUUCCCUUGUUACCAUCUUCUAGGAACUAUCACAAGGCUAGUCAAAGAGCAAUAGGCCUGCAUUGAUUACACAAAGGACAGGCACCCAGAGAGUCCCAAAAUCUGCCACCUUGAUGGGCAAGAGGCAAAGCUCUCAGCUAGGUUUCUCUAGCACCAGAAUGAGACUGAGGGCUUUUCAGAAAUUUUAAAAGGAGGUCUUCACUCUGCUUAUAGAAGUAAAACAUUCCAAACCUGCCCUUCCAAAAAGAGGGUUGGGGGCCAGCAAGAUGGCUCAGUGGGUAAAGGCAUAUGCUACCAACCCUGGUGACCUGAGUUUGUUCCCCAGAGCCCAUGUUAAAGGUAAAAGGGGAGAAUUGACUCCACUAAGUUGUCAGCUAACAUCCACCCAAGUGUAUCAUGGGAUAUGCAUAUCAUGCACACAUAUACAAUAAAAAUUUUUCUUAAUGAGAAAAAGAGGUUGACAACCAUUAUAGGAGGAAAAAACGAAGUGGGACUGUGUAUCCAGUAAGGGGAAUAUGGAGACUAGACCCUGAUUCUUUUCAGUCUCAGCUAAGCCCGUAGCAAGGAAGUGAUGACUUUAGGCCAUUUAAUUAUGAGAGUGGGAGAGACUUGCCUCGCAUGUGCAAGGCUCCUUUAGAAUUCUCAGAUUAUUACAAGAGCCUGAAGCUAGAAUAAUAUAUUAGAUGAAACACAGGCUCUCCAGCCGAAAGGUCUUUAAGAAUUCCUACCUAUUUACUUAGGAUGAGAAGGAAGGAAGUUAGCAACUCAAAGAGUCUCUUGAUCACAAAAUCUUCUUUGUGACUGAGUUGUGGUUGGAAGGCUUAGGCUUUGGUGAAUGUAGACCAUCAGGGCUGGCUGUCGACCCCAGAGUGGUCUCCACCCCCUGUGUCCACAUUGACAGUCUCAACCAAAACAAGCAGCCCUUUCAGGCAGCAAGGAUCUGAGAACGACACCAUCAAUUUGGUAUAACCUCUUGCAGACCUCGGCAGCCCAGCUGAGCUGCUGGCCUGGAACACAGUGGCUCCUUCAUUACCUGUCGCAGGCUCGCAGGAAAUUAAAUGAAUAGAAACAGGCCCUGCCACACAGUGUCUCCUCAGCCACUUACUGAUUCAAGGUCAUUCGGGGAACUAUGGGUCUUUCAGAUAGAUGGGUGUGUUAUAACCGAGGCAAAGUCCAAACAAGGAUAACCCUUUGGCUCGGGUACCUUGAGUUACCUUUUUCCCUUUGAUCACAUACAGGCUCAGUGAGGCCCCUGUUAAUAAACAUGGACAGGGUCCCAAGUAAAGCAGCCUCCCCUGGAGCCACAAUCUACAGUUCUGGUUCUCAAAGCAAGGUCCCUAGACCUGCAGUCUGCGAAACUCCUGGGUAUUGGUUAGAGAUGCGCAGUCUCCAACCCCGAGCCCACUGUGGUUCCAGAAGCCCUCCAGGUUGAUUCCGAACUGUUGGCUCACAGCCUGGGAUGUAAAGCAGAUCAGUUUACAAGGACAGCUUAAAUAAUUCAUUUAGAUUAUUAUCAAAUAGAUUCGACUAGAAGGAUCUUAGAUGUCUUCAGGGCCAGCUGCUAAGCUCUGGCACCUUAU
rnacentral:lncRNA from 1 species